rnacentral:rRNA from 1 species
AGUGAACGCUGGCGGUAGGCCUAACACAUGCAAGUCGAACGGCAGCACAGUAAGAGCUUGCUCUUACGGGUGGCGAGUGGCGGACGGGUGAGGAAUACAUCGGAAUCUACUUUUUCGUGGGGGAUAACGUAGGGAAACUUACGCUAAUACCGCAUACGACCUACGGGUGAAGGCAGUGGAUCUUCGGACCUUGCGCGAUUGAAUGAGCCGAUGUCGGAUUAGCUAGUUGGCGGGGUAAAGGCCCACCAAGGCGACGAUCCGUAGCUGGUCUGAGAGGAUGAUCAGCCACACUGGAACUGAGACACGGUCCAGACUCCUACGGGAGGCAGCAGUGGGGAAUAGUGGACAAUGGGCGCAAGCAUGAUACAGCCAUACCGCGUGGGUGAAGAAGGCCUUCGGGUUGUAAAGCCCUUUUGUUGGGAAAGAAAAGCAGCAGGUUAAGACCCCGCUGUUCUGACGGUACCCAAAGAAUAAGCACCGGCUAACUUCGUG